rnacentral:lncRNA from 1 species
UAUUCUUACCAUAUUUUCUUACUUUUAUAUUAAAAUUCAAUAAAAUUAAUAAAAGAAACAAAAGUUUAUAAUGCAUGUAACUGUGAACAUAAGAAAUAUAGUUCAUAUAGUGUGGCGGAAGGUAUUACAAAAAGGAGGAGAAAGUCAAUAAAAGGAAGGAAUUUAAUUUUCAUACAAUAGCUGUUAAUUUAAUUUGACUGCAUCUCAUAUUUCUCAUACAAAAAUAACAAGUAAUGUUUUCAUAUAGUUCCUGUUUUCCUUCUGUUAUAAAACUGUUUAUUUACUUUAGUCAUCUCAUUUCAAAAGGAUCUGGAGAUUGAUCAUUUAAACACCCUCUGUGAAUGAUCAUGAUUUUAAACAUGUUGGAUUUAAAGCAUGGCAACACUGUGGGCAAGCAUUUCACAUUAUAUCAUAAAACGUCUUUGCCAACUUCAACAAAAUUUGGCAGAAAUGUUGUUAUUGAACUGUUCUCUAGAUGCGAUUGCCAAAUCAUAGAUGAAGAACGCAACCACCAGAGGCAUAUUUAAGUUCUAAUUGAUAAAUUGAAAAUUAUAAUAGAUGAAGAUGAAGAUUUUGACCAUCAGAUGCAUUCAGUUAUUAUAAUAGAUGAUACAGUUUUAAUACUUCUUGAUGCAGAACCCGACUACAAAAGACAAUUUUUAAUUCGAUUAGAUGAUGACUACGAGAGGCAAUCUUUUAUUCUAAGUUUUGGGGAAUUUUGGGAAUUCGGCUACCAAUAGCAAUAUUUGAUAUUAGUGCCCCCCCCCCCCCCCCUCCCGAAAAAGAUCCUUUGUAAAUAGGGUUAUCAAAGCUUGAUUAAGCGGAAGUCAUGUUCUGCUAUUUUAUUCUUUUAAUUUUACCGGAACAUUGAUUUAUAUUGUAUUUAUAUACCAUAUAUAAACUAUGCAGGCUCAUUUGGGUAUCCUUUUCUAAUUUUUGAUACGAGUGCACAUGCUUUUUUUCAUAGGAAUUAUAGAUAAC